rnacentral:rRNA from 1 species
GACGAACGCUGGCGGCGUGCCUAAUACAUGCAAGUAGAACGCUGAAGGAGGAGAUUGCUUCUCUGGAUGAGUUGCGAACGGGUGAGUAACGCGUAGGUAACCUGCCUGGUAGCGGGGGAUAACUAUUGGAAACGAUAGCUAAUACCGCAUAAUAGUAGAUGUUGCAUGACAUUUGCUUAAAAGGUGCAAUUGCAUCACUACCAGAUGGACCUGCGUUGUAUUAGCUAGUUGGUGGGGUAACGGCUCACCAAGGCGACGAUACAUAGCCGACCUGAGAGGGUGAUCGGCCACACUGGGACUGAGACACGGCCCAGACUCCUACGGGAGGCAGCAGUAGGGAAUCUUCGGCAAUGGACGGAAGGCUGACCGAGCAACGCCGCGUGAGUGAAGAAGGUUUUCGGAUCGUAAAGCUCUGUUGUAAGAGAAGAACGAGUGUGAGAGUGGAAAGUUCACACUGUGACGGUAUCUUACCAGAAAGGGACGGCUAACUACGUG